AGAGUUUGAUCAUGGCUCAGAGUGAACGCUGGCGGCGUGGAUUAGGCAUGCAAGUCGCGCGAUCUCGCAAGAGAUAGCGGCAAAAGGGUUAGUAACACGUGAGUAAUUUUCCUUAGAAUCGGACAUAGCUUCGUGAAAACGGAGGUAAUAUCCGAUACGUCCUGACAUGGCAUCAUGAUGGGAUAAAAGGUGGGGACCGUAAGGCCUACUGUUCUAAGAUGAGCUCGCGUCCUAUCAGCUUGUUGGUGGGGUAAUGGCCUACCAAGGCUCAUGACGGGUAGCUGGUCUGAGAGGACGACCAGCAACACUGGGACUGAGACACUGCCCAGACUCCUACGGGAGGCUGCAGUCGAGAAUCUUUAGCAAUGGGCGAAAGCCUGACUAUGCGACGCCGCGUGCAGGAUGAAGGUCUUCGGAUCGUAAACUGCUUUUGUCAGGAAAGAAACCUUCAACGUUAACAACGUUGAAGCUGACGGUACCUGACGAAUAAGCCACGGCCAACUCCGUGCCAGCAGCCGCGGUAAUACGGAGGUGGCAAGCGUUACUCGGAAUCAUUGGGUGUAAAGGGCAAGUAGGCGGUUUGUUAAGUGAGGGGUGAAAUCUUCCGACUCAAUCGGAAAACAGCCUUUCAAACUGACGAACUUGAGGCAAGAAGGGGGAAACGGAAUUCGCGGUGUAAGGGUGAAAUCUGUAGAGAUCGCGAAGAACACCGGCGGCGAAGGCGGUUUCCUGGUCUUGUCCUGACGCUGAAUUGCGAAAGCUAGGGGAGCAAACAGAAUUAGAUACUCUGGUAGUCCU
rnacentral:rRNA from 1 species